CUGGAGAAGUUGUGCAGAUGUUCUUCAGUCUGCACCGUCAUGAUUGACCAGCUACUAUGAGGACGACUGGAUCAGCCACAGAGCUCAUAAGAUGGAGCCCGAGGUGUGAAGGUAACUCCACAACAAUAAAAUCUGCGUUUUUAAGCAUCACUCUGACCAUGAAGGAUCGGUGGCAGCUCGGUGUCUUCAGGACGGCUGCACCAAAACACGACCUUCUACCGUUCCAGCAGCACGGCUGCUUAACUUCACUUUAUUCAAAGCAGCGGGUUGCCAUGGCGACAGCAGUUUUCUCAAUCUUUAAAUCCUUCUUCCUCCUGUUGGUAAAUAAGUUACUGGACAUGGAACGGACUUCAUUCCACACUCUAACCGUCUGUUCUGAACGUUCAUCUUUCCUGCUUGGACUGCCCACGCCCUCACCGGGUCACAUGAUCAGAGGAGGAGUGUAAACACAGCAGCGGAGAAGUGAAACAAAGUCACCUUCAAAGCAUCAAACGGAGGCUGCCAAAGUCAGGAAAAGGACUUUCCUGAUCUGGCUGGAAAGAAUCCUAUCUGUAUGGACCCCCCCUAACAGCUGAAUGUGAAUGAUGAACUCCUGGCAGCUCUGACAGGCCGGUUCUGUAGCGGCAGCCUGUUGAGGCGGUCAUCAGGAAACAUUCAGUCCGCUGACUGACUGAUGACCCACCUCACAGCCGAACAACAUUUGGCGGCGAUCGCGUCACCGAAUGACUCUCCCCACACGUUUAGGUGAUGCAUGUGAGGAUGUGCACGAGGCUGACGAUGAGUAACAGCCAGUCUGUUCAUCUGGACCCAACAGACCAUCAUGAAGACCGUCUAACAUCAAAGCAGAAGGUCACCGUUCUGUCACCUCAUGAGGAGACGUUUUCACGCGGUUCACAUCAAACUGGAUCGGAUUCAGAAAACUUUAUCCAGUCGAAAAACUAAAUAAAAGUGAGUACCUGUUCUGAACCGGGCCCUUGAAGUUUGGAUCAAACUUGCACGGCUCACCUGUAAAACAGAGUAAAUCAUCAGGAAAAGUUGGAAAAUUAUGUUUAUUUACAAAAACAUCACAAAUAAAUUAACAACUGAGUUAAAAACACAAACAACAUGUUUUUAAGGAGCUGAUAUUCAUCAUGAGUGAGCUUAAAGAAGAGAAAACCGGCCGAUCUGCAAAGAUCUGCAACCAACUGUUAAAAAA